rnacentral:lncRNA from 1 species
GGAGGGAGGCACCAGGCUCCGAGGUGCCAGCUUCCUAAGGGCUGCUGAUUACACUGAUUUCAUGGUCGUCAAACAAGCUCAGAGAAGAUUCUGG